rnacentral:piRNA from 1 species
UAAGGAACCUUUUCUAAAGUAAACGAAAAC